CGGAGGUCACUGCUAUUGGGAUUCGGNUAAGCCAUGCAAGCGGAGGGCGCNGUCGAAAGACCGUGGCCCCGCACACUGCUCAGUAACACGUAGUCAACCUACCCUUGGGACGGGGACAACCUCGGGAAACUGAGGCUAAUCCCCGAUAGGUGAGGGACGCUGGAAUGCCUCCUCGCCCAAAGCUCCGGCGCCCAAGGAUGGGACUGCGGUCUAUCAGGCUGUUGGUGGUGUAACGGACCACCAAACCUACGACGGGUACGGGCGAUGGGAGUCGGAGCCCGGAGAUGGGGACUGAGACAAGGCCCCAGGCCCUACGGGGCGCAGCAGGCGCGAAAACUCCGCAAUGCGCGCAAGCGUGACGGGGGAAUCCCAAGUGCCGUUGGUCUUAUGAUCGACGGUUUUUAGGAAGUCUAAGAAGCUUCCAGAAUAAGGGCUGGGCAAGACUGGUGCCAGCCGCCGCGGUAACACCAGCAGCCCAAGUGGUGACCACGAUUAUUGGGCCUAAAGCGCUCGUAGCCGGAUCAGCAAGUCCCUUGUGAAAUCGGGCCGCCUAACGGUUCGGCGUGCAAGGGAUACUGUUGGUCUUGAGGCCGGGAGAGGUCGGAGGUACUCCUGGGGUAGCGGUGAAAUGCUCUAAUCCUAGGGGGACCACCAGUGGCGAAGGCGUCCGACCAGAACGGACCUGACGGUGAGGGGCGAAGGCUAGGGGAGCGAACGGGAUUAGAUACCCCGGUAGUCCUAGCUGUAAAGCAUGCGGGCCAGGUGUCUAGCGCUCCUUGAGGGCGCUAGGUGCCGGAGGGAAGCCGUUAAGCCCGCCGCCUGGGAAGUACGGCCGCAAGGCUGAAACUUAA
rnacentral:rRNA from 1 species